rnacentral:rRNA from 1 species
GUAACACGUGGGCAACCUACCUCAUAGAGGGGAAUAGCCUUCCGAAAGGGAGAUUAAUACCGCAUAACAUUUUUGAUUGGCAUCAAUCGGGAAUCAAAGGAGCAAUCCGCUAUGAGAUGGGCCCGCGUCGCAUUAGUUAGUUGGUGGGGUAAAGGCCUACCAAGACGACGAUGCGUAGCCGACCUGAGAGGGUGAUCGGCCACAUUGGGACUGAGACACGGCCCAGACUCCUACGGGAGGCAGCAGUGGGGAAUAUUGCACAAUGGAGGAAACUCUGAUGCAGCAACGCCGCGUGAGCGAUGAAGGUCUUCGGAUCGUAAAGCUCUGUCUUUAGGGAUGAUAAUGACAGUACCUAAGGAGGAAGCCACGGCUAACUACGUGCCAGCAGCCGCGGUAAUACGUAGGUGGCGAGCGUUAUCCGGAAUUAUUGGGCGUAAAGGGAGCGUAGGCGGAUACUUAAGUGGGAUGUGAAAGACUUGGGCUCAACCCAAGGGCUGCAUUCCAAACUGAGUAUCUAGAGUGCAGGAGAGGAGAGUGGAAUUCCUAGUGUAGCGGUGAAAUGCGUAGAGAUUAGGAAGAACACCAGUGGCGAAGGCGACUCUCUGGACUGUAACUGACGCUGAGGCUCGAAAGCGUGGGGAGCAAACAGGAUUAGAUACCCUGGUAGUCCACGCCGUAAACGAUGA